GCCAGACUCCUACGGGAGGCAGCAGUGAGGAAUAUUGGUCAAUGGCCGAGAGGCUGAACCAGCCAAGUCGCGUGAGGGAAGACGGCCCUACGGGUUGUAAACCUCUUUUGUCAGGGAGCAAUUGAGUCCACGUGUGGGCUUAGCGAGAGUACCUGAAGAAAAAGCAUCGGCUAACUCCGUGCCAGCAGCCGCGGUAAUACGGAGGAUGCGAGCGUUAUCCGGAUUUAUUGGGUUUAAAGGGUGCGUAGGCGGAAUAUCAAGUCAGCGGUAAAAAUUCGGGGCUCAACCCCGGCCGGCCGUUGAAACUGGUUUUCUAGAGUUGGAGAGGAGUAUGCGGAAUUCGUGGUGUAGCGGUGAAAUGCAUAGAUAUCACGCAGAACUCCGAUUGCGAAGGCAGCAUACCGGCGCGCAACUGACGCUCAUGCACGAAAGCGUGGGUAUCGAACAGGAUUAGAUCCCCCUGUA
rnacentral:rRNA from 1 species